rfam:Parcubacteria (Magasanikbacteria) bacterium GW2011_GWC2_41_17 TT49_C0033, whole genome shotgun sequence.
GCCUCCAUCGUUCAAUGGAUAGGACGCAAGAUUCCGGAUCUUGUAAUAGAGGUUCGACUCCUCUUGGAGGCA